AUUGAACGCUGGCGGCAUGCCUUACACAUGCAAGUCGAACGGUAACAGGGAGCUUGCUCCGCUGACGAGUGGCGAACGGGUGAGUAAUGUAUCGGAACGUACCUUUUAGUGGGGGAUAACGUAGCGAAAGUUACGCUAAUACCGCAUAUUCUCUGAGGAGGAAAGCAGGGGACCUUCGGGCCUUGCGCUAAUAGAGCGGCUGAUAUCAGAUUAGCUAGUUGGUGAGGUAAAGGCUCACCAAGGUGACGGUCUGUAGCGGGUCUGAGAGGAUGAUCCGCCACACUGGAGCUGAGACACGGUCCAGACUCCUACGGGAGGCAGCAGUGGGGAAUUUUGGACAAUGGGGGCAACCCUGAUCCAGCCAUGCCGCGUGAGUGAAGAAGGCCUUCGGGUUGUAAAGCUCUUUCGGCCGGGAAAAAAUCGCAUGGGCUAAUACCCUGUGUGGAUGAUGGUACCGGAAUAAGAAGCACCGGCUAACUACGUGCCAGCAGCCGCCGUAA
rnacentral:rRNA from 1 species